AAGAGUUUAGGUUAACCAGACCAAGAGCCUUCAAAGCUCUAAGUAAACAAUAUAUGUUUAACUCUUG
rnacentral:tRNA from 1 species